GUAAAAACGCAUGCAUAUAUGUGUAAAUAAGGUAGUACCAGCUGUGAAGCUCAAAUAAAUAAAUAAAAAAAGAAAAAGCUGAGUUGAGCUGAGUUGACAGCUUUAGCGGGGUGUGUCUUAGUACUGCACUCAGAGCGAAACUCAGGAAGAACCAUGAUGAGUACAACAAUGGGACAAGUUGUGUAGAACAAGUAACAGUUUUAUUGAUGCCGUCUACAUCUUACAGAAGCAGGUGGGUAGCAGGAAAAGGAGCUGCCUGGUCCUUCUGAACUAAUCAAAUCUGGGAGAAGAAACAUGGCAGAGUGAUGCAGAAUAAAGAAGGGUCUAGCUGUCGGACGUGGUCGAUAAUUUUUGACGGGUUUCGGCCUUUUCUAUUUGACCCAGGGUAAGCCCCAC